GCCUGCGUAGCUUAGUCGUAAAAACACCCGUCUAUGGCGCGGUAGGCUUCGGGUUCGAGCCUCGGUAAAGGCA